AAACAAUGGGGGUACGCGCUUCGCUCUUGCUCUAUACCAAAACGAACAAAGAAAGUUAACUCUAUCAAAUUAGACAGUAAGAUUACAAGCCAAAUGGCGAAAAAAAGAAACAAAUUGCAUUGCACGCACUCUUACAGUAUAAAAAAUGAAGAAAUCAAUUAAAUUAAAAUGCAAUGACGGAGAAAUUACAAAGCUUGCUUGCAAUAGGACGGCGGCCAUAUGUACAGCUAUUAGGCACUAUAUUGUCUUUAGGGAUCGGCCCUAAUUAGGGCUGUUCCUGUAUGAUUGGCCUACCUGUGAAGUAGAUUUUUGAAUUCAGUUUAAAAAAACAACAAAAGUCUGUUUUGACGAAAAUACUUGGCUCUAUUUCCAAAUAAAAGACCUAGAUAGUGUCUUCUUUGCAAAGAUACCAAAUGGCGUGUUUGAGUUUUCGAGUUCAAGAGAACCUUGACUUCUGGUUAAACUACUACUUAUGAAUUGAUUUUAAUAAAGAAUAAAUAAAACGUGUCACCGUUUGCUACUAAUGCGGUAUCACUUUCAUCGUUUCAAUGCCGUUUUGUCCUAAAAACAGGGAUUAAGUUGUAAAUCCAGGAAAGGUACAAUGAAGCUGUAAAGUUCAUCUACCAUCGCCUAUGUUAUACAGAACGUUGUGCUGAUAAAAUUUCGAACGGCAUCACAGUUAUAGAAAGAGAAUCAAACCCUUGGAACCCAAAAGAUCUGUUUUAAGCCUGAGAAAAUUUCCGUUCAUUGGCGAGCGAAACAUGUUUCUAGACGGAUGUAUACCGCAUGUUGACGUUUCACAAAUCUGGAAACAAAAAAACAUGAAAUCAAUUUGGACUCUUUAGGCACGCACGAGCAUAGUGUUUUUAUAAACGUAAUAUAAUUUCCUGAUGUAGAUAUAAAAUCUUAUUUACGAACAAAGAUGAAAUGAAGAAGAGAACAUCACAAAGUACGAACGAGAUGUUACAUAUAUUUUAGAUGUCCUCUUGGUCAAGUGACAAACAAAUAAAACAUGAAAAUGAAUUUUGAUCGCUGAA